GACGAACGCUGGCGGCGUGCCUAAUACAUGCAAGUCGAACGAGAGCAACCGGUGCUUGCACUGGUCAAUCUAGUGGCGAACGGGUGGGUAACACGUGGGUAACCUGCCUGGUAGCGGGGGAUAACUAUUGGAAACGAUAGCUAAUACCGCAUAAUAUUAAUUAUUGCAUGAUAAUUAAUUGAAAGGUGCAAUUGCACCACUACCAGAUGGACCUGCGUUGUAUUAGCUAGUAGGUGAGGUAACGGCUCACCUAGGCGACGAUACAUAGCCGACCUGAGAGGGUGAUCGGCCACACUGGGACUGAGACACGGCCCAGACUCCUACGGGAGGCAGCAGUAGGGAAUCUUCGGCAAUGGACGAAAGUCUGACCGAGCAACGCCGCGUGAGUGAAGAAGGUUUUCGGAUCGUAAAGCUCUGUUGUAAGAGAAGAACGGGUGUGAGAGUGGAAAGUUCACACUGUGACGGUAUCUUACCAGAAAGGGACGGCUAACUACGUG
rnacentral:rRNA from 1 species